rnacentral:rRNA from 1 species
CCUACGGGCGGCAGCAGUGGGGAAUAUUGGACAAUGGGCGAAAGCCUGAUCCAGCCAUGCCGCGUGUGUGAAGAAGGCCUUCGGGUUGUAAAGCACUUUCAGUGGGGAAGAAAGCCUUGGGGCUAAUACCCUCGAGGAAGGACAUCACCCACAGAAGAAGCACCGGCUAACUCCGUGCCAGCAGCCGCGGUAAUACGGAGGGUGCGAGCGUUAAUCGGAAUUACUGGGCGUAAAGCGCGCGUAGGCGGUCUGAUAAGCCGGUUGUGAAAGCCCCGGGCUCAACCUGGGAACGGCAUCCGGAACUGGCAGGCUAGAGUGCAGGAGAGGAAGGUAGAAUUCCCGGUGUAGCGGUGAAAUGCGUAGAGAUCGGGAGGAAUACCAGUGGCGAAGGCGGCCUUCUGGACUGACACUGACGCUGAGGUGCGAAAGCGUGGGUAGCAAACAGGAUUAGAUACCCUGGUAGUC